UGGGGGAUAUUGCACAAUGGAGGAAACUCUGAUGCAGCGAUGCCGCGUGAGGGAAGAAGGUUUUCGGAUUGUAAACCUCUGUCUUUGGGGACGAUAAUGACGGUACCCAAGGAGGAAGCUCCGGCUAACUACGUGCCAGCAGCCGCGGUAAUACGUAGGGAGCGAGCGUUGUCCGGAAUUACUGGGUGUAAAGGGAGCGUAGGCGGGACUGCAAGUUGAAUGUGAAAUCUAUGGGCUCAACCCAUAAACUGCGUUCAAAACUGUGGUUCUUGAGUGAAGUAGAGGCAAGUGGAAUUCCUAGUGUAGCGGUGGAAUGCGUAGAUAUUAGGAGGAACACCAGUGGCGAAGGCGACUUGCUGGGCUUUAACUGACGCUGAGGCUCGAAAGCGUGGGUAGCAAACA
rnacentral:rRNA from 1 species